rnacentral:rRNA from 1 species
GGAAUUUUGGACAAUGGACGCAAGUCUGAUCCAGCCAUUCCGCGUGCAGGAUGAAGGCCCUCGGGUUGUAAACUGCUUUUGUACGGAACGAAAAGGUUUCUAUUAAUACUAGGAGCUCAUGACGGUACCGUAAGAAUAAGCACCGGCUAACUACGUGCCAGCAGCCGCGGUAAUACGUAGGGUGCAAGCGUUAAUCGGAAUUACUGGGCGUAAAGCGUGCGCAGGCGGUUAUGUAAGACAGAGGUGAAAUCCCCGGGCUCAACCUGGGAACUGCCUUUGUGACUGCAUAGCUAGAGUACGGUAGAGGGGGAUGGAAUUCCGCGUGUAGCAGUGAAAUGCGUAGAUAUGCGGAGGAACACCGAUGGCGAAGGCAAUCCCCUGGACCUGUACUGACGCUCAUGCACGAAAGCGUGGGGAGCGAACAGGAUUAGAUACCCUGGUAGUCCACGCCGUAAACGGUGGGCGCUAGUUGUGCGAACCUUCCACGGUUUGUGCGACGCAGCUAACGCAUUAAGCGCCCCGCCUGGGGAGUACGAUCGCAAGAUUAAAACUCAAAGGAAUUGACGG